rnacentral:rRNA from 1 species
CACUCCUGCGGGAGGCAGCAGUGGGGAAUUUUGGACAAUGGGCGAAAGCCUGAUCCAGCAAUGCCGCGUGCAGGAUGAAGGCCUUCGGGUUGUAAACUGCUUUUGUACGGAACGAAAAAGCUCCUUCUAAUACAGGGGGCCCAUGACGGUACCGUAAGAAUAAGCACCGGCUAACUACGUGCCAGCAGCCGCGGUAAUACGUAGGGUGCGAGCGUUAAUCGGAAUUACUGGGCGUAAAGCGUGCGCAGGCGGUUAUGUAAGACAGAUGUGAAAUCCCCGGGCUCAACCUGGGAACUGCAUUUGUGACUGCAUGGCUAGAGUACGGUAGAGGGGGAUGGAAUUCCGCGUGUAGCAGUGAAAUGCGUAGAUAUGCGGAGGAACACCGAUGGCGAAGGCAAUCCCCUGGACCUGUACUGACGCUCAUGCACGAAAGCGUGGGGAGCAAACAGGAUUAGAAACCCCUGCAGUCCCAU